rnacentral:rRNA from 1 species
GAUGAACGCUGGCGGCGUGCCUAAUACAUGCAAGUCGAACGAACAGACGAGGAUCUUGCUCCUCUGACGUUAGCGGCGGACGGGUGAGUAACACGUGUAUAACCUACCUAUAAGACUGGGAUAACUUCGGGAAACCGGAUCUAAUACCGUAUAAUAUAUUGAACCGCAUGGUUCAAUAGUGAAAGACGGUUUUGCUGUCACUUAUACAUGUAUCCGGGCGGCAUUGGCUAGUUGGUAGGUUAACGGCUUUCAAGGGAAGGAUGCGUAGCCGAGCUGAGAGGGUGAUAGGCGACACUGGAACUGAGACGCGGUCCAGACUCCUACGGGAGGCAGCAGUAGGGAAUCUGACGCAAUGGGCGAAAGCUUGACGGAGCAACGCCGCGUGAGUGAUGAAGGUCUUCGGAUCGUAAAACUCUGUUAUUAGGGAAGAACAAAUGUGUAAGUAACUAUGCACGUCUUGACGGUACCUAAUCAGAAAGCAACGGCUAACUACGUG